GGGCGGGGGCACGGGGGGAGAGUUUGAUCCUGGCUCAGGAUGAACGCUGGCGGCGUGCUUAACACAUGCAAGUCGAACGAACCUUCGGGUUAGUGGCGGACGGGUGAGUAACGCGUGGGAAUCUGCCCUCAGGAGGGGGAUAACGGCUGGAAACGGCCGCUAAUACCCCAUAUGCCGAGAGGUGAAAUGAAUUUCGCCUGAGGAUGAGCCCGCGUCUGAUUAGCUAGUUGGUGAGGUAAGAGCUCACCAAGGCAUCGAUCAGUAGCUGGUCUGAGAGGAUGAUCAGCCACACUGGGACUGAGACACGGCCCAGACUCCUACGGGAGGCAGCAGUGGGGAAUUUUCCGCAAUGGGCGAAAGCCUGACGGAGCAACGCCGCGUGAGGGAUGAAGGCCUCUGGGCUGUAAACCUCUUUUCUCAAGGAAGAAGAUCUGACGGUACUGAG
rnacentral:rRNA from 1 species